AUUUUAAAGCUAGGUUGUUAGUUGUAAAAAAAAUAUGAUUUUAAUAUUUUUAUUCAUUGUAUUCACAUUGUAGUUUAAUUAUUCAUUUUUGUUUCAGAAUGAAGUUGCUGCUGCUGUUGCCGAAUCUGGUGUUCCAGUAUAUGCAUGGAGAGGAGAGAGUGAAGAGGACUUCUGGUGGUGCAUAGAUAAGUGCAUAUAUGCUGAUAAUUGGCAGCCAAAUAUGAUUUUAGACGAUGGAGGUGACGCCACACACUUAAUGUUAAAAAAAUACCCAGCCAUGUUCCGUGGAAUUAAAGGUAUUGUUGAAGAAAGUGUUACUGGUGUACAUCGUCUCUAUCAGUUAUCAAAAUCUGGGAAGUUGACAGUACCUGCAAUGAAUGUUAAUGAUUCUGUAACUAAAGUAAGUUUUAUAUAAUCAU